CGAGAUAAUUUGUUUUUUUAUUGGAUUCUAGUAUGAAUGGAUUUUUUGUUAUUAAAUAUAUUGAUUUUAAAAAGAAUUUUAAAUUUAUUUAAAAAAUAAUAAAUAAAAUAAAACUAAGAAAAGUCUUUAGAAAUUUAUUAUUUAAUUUAAUUAGGGAAAUAAAAUAAUUAAUAUUUUUUUCUUAAUCAAAAAAAAAAAUUUCUCUAGAGUUAACAGGAAUAAAUAUUAAUUUAUUAUUUUUACAUCGAUGUUGUUUUAUUUAAUAUUAAAAAUGAGAAACUUUUGAGUGAGAGACUGUUCUUCUUUUUUUAAUACGUGAAAUUAGUUUAAUU
rnacentral:rRNA from 1 species